rnacentral:lncRNA from 1 species
GCUCCCCAAGGGCCUCUCAGUCAUGUGGAAUAAGUGGAUGUUAUUAAGGAGGAAAGCUCUGACGAAAGCUAGACUUGAAAGGAUCUGUUUGCUUACUGUGGGGUGACACAGAAAAUGGACAGGCCAGGUGGAGGGAAUGAGAGUGAACUAAACUGGGGGCGCACUAGCGCACACAUUUGAGAUGUCCUUUGGAGACGUCAGCAAUGUCUGACGUUUACUGGAACGUGAUGUGCAUCAAUUCCUGCUCCAGUCUCCUGACGACUCUUUAAUCACCGCUGUUAUCCAGGCCUGUGAUGGACGUCAUGGCGGACAUCAGGGUUGGAGCUGGCAACAGAAGGGGACUGAAUCAUGACGGAGCCAGGAACGACGACAGCUAGAAAGGCCAGGGCUCCCACUAGCCACUGCGCCCAAUGAUGUCAUUUCCUCCCACUAGGCCCUGCCUCCUCAAGGUGCCAAGACUCUCACCGGUGGGUGGCUCUCGAAAUCCAAACUGCGUGGUUUGAUUGAAGAGGAAUUGAAAACCCAGCACAGCUUCCUGCCUUGGACAAUUCCUGAUCAUACUUGGUACUUGGAGGGAUGCCAAAAAACUGAGUGUGAGUCUUGGGAGAAGGAAGGUGCUCCAAGGAAAAAGCUGCCUCAUGUUAUUCCCUUCAGCUUGGCUCUUCUACCUGGAAGCAGAAGUGACUAGAAGGUAUGGCAGUUUUCAUUUUGAGAACAAACUGAAAGGAUUUGGGCUCUUCAUCAUGCAGGGGUCAAAAAGAAAUGGGAACGCCAGGCUAAAUGAGAGGCCCCAUGGCACAGCAGCCAGAAACGAACUGAAUGCUGCACCAGGCUCCCAUCAGAACAUGAGAAAGGACAGAACAGUUUCCACAGGAGGUGCUGAACAGGAAAUGGGGUAUUCCGUGGGUCCCCUGGGCUGGAAAUGCAAAUACUCCCAAUGAGAGUUUGUAAACAUUGUCAUUGGCCCAAAAUGAGAUGUUACAUAUACUUGAAAAACAGACCUGGUGCAGACUUUUGAGGUCAUGAAGAGGAAUAAAUCUGUAAUUGUGGGCUGGGUAGAUCAAAUAUGUGACUUAGCAGCACCUUCCCUACAUUAUUAUGUGGAACCUUUGUGUGUCUCUGACAUCAGAAUAUAACAUUUCUCACUGUCUAUGCCUGCAUUUCUAUCCCUACGCUUUCAU